AAAGACCACUCAAGCGAUUUUGCUUGGUAUUGGAAGACGAGUGCCUCUGGCCCUCCCUUCCGAAAUUCAAUGGCGGAAAGUCUCACGUGCCCCGGCGUAGUAAGUUUAUCUUUCGCUUGGACCAUGAGGCGUUCUCGCCCUCAAAUCCCCAAUACUAUA
rnacentral:misc_RNA from 1 species